GUUAAUAAUCUCGCUAAAUCUCGGCAAUCACAUGACGAGACUUACAGACCCUAUUGCCGAACAUAAUCGGGUUGCUGAGACCGAGGCCAUAUACAAAGACGGAAACUGACGCUAGCAACUACGCGUGUCGUUUGUUUUAAAGUAUUACGUUGUUUCAUGAAUGACUAGAAAUACUAUGCAAGUGUAAAAAGGUAUUAAUUACGACAAAUGUGCCACUCAAAUGAAAUUUUGAUCGUGAAUUUUCUAUAAAAUUGGCAUGUUUUAACUGUUUACAAAUCUAACACGUGCUCAGUGCCUCUCUUUCGCUUUUUCCGAACUGGUGACCUCCAAGGUCAAUGCACAUCGGAGGUUACGAGCAGGAAUUACUGACAGGAUGCCAAUAAUUCAUGAAUCUAUAUUUUCUGCUGAUUUGACGGGUUUAUUGCUUCAGAUUCACUCUGGUUCUACUAAGUUAUAUACAUGUAUAUUCAAUCACAUAUAUGUUGACUAUUUGUUCUUUUAUUUUUUUAUUUAUUUUCCGUCAGUUACAGCUUGUAUUGCUUUAAACUCGAAAUAUUUUGGCUAAUUUUGUCAAUAUGCGUCUUUUAAACUUAUUUUCAAAAAUUAUUGAAUCAAGACAUACAUGUACGUUCCAAUUGGUUUUAUCAUAUAUUUGAAUAACUUAUUUUUUAUCUUUCAUGCAACACCUUUAGGGAAAUUAACAUGAGACGUGCAACACCUUCUUUGCACUUUUCAGGCAAGAUAUUGUGGCGAGACAUUUUCCACACAAGAAUUUGAAAGUCAUGUCAGGAAGCUGCACGCGGCAUCGUCUGCAAAAAUAUCGAUGUACAAAUGUCUUCAACGCGAUUCCUUGCUGGUGAUGUUUAAUUAGCCGUUAAGUCUUGAUUAGCGGACGAGGAAGUAAGGGAGAUGAGGUACACGUUUUUAAACUUCACACAACGGAUGUUAAGACAUCGCUCUCCAUCUCCAUUGCUUACGUCAUUUGUGUUUCUAUUCGUGAUGAUUUUUGUUUUGACCCAGUUGAUUCCCGGACCUUAUCCACCAUUUU